GGUAAAAGUGGAUGUUUGAGUCAAUUCGCCAAAACUUCGAACAGCUUAUAUGGAAUCGAGAUUGAAGCCGACGGCGAUCCAAUCGAGCUAUGGCUCAAAUGAAUCGUCGUUCAAUUCUGAGAAUAUCGUGGAAAAACUUUUUUCCCGAAAAUUUUUUGUUGGGCUGUCAUGGCUCUUAGAAAAUUUUUCUCCGAAGUGGUCGCGAAAACCGUUUUUUAUCAAUUACU